UGGGGAAUAUUGCACAAUGGGCGCAAGCCUGAUGCAGCCAUGCCGCGUGUAUGAAGAAGGCCUUCGGGUUGUAAAGUACUUUCAGCGAGGAGGAAGGCGUUGUGGUUAAUAACCGCAACGAUUGACGUUACUCGCAGAAGAAGCACCGGCUAACUCCGUGCCAGCAGCCGCGGUAAUACGGAGCGUGCAAGCGUUAAUCGGAAUUACUGGGCGUAAAGCGCACGCAGGCGGUCUGUCAAGUCGGAUGUGAAAUCCCCGGGCUCAACCUGGGAACUGCAUCCGAAACUGGCAGGCUAGAGUCUUGUAGAGGGGGGUAGAAUUCCAGGUGUAGCGGUGAAAUGCGUAGAGAUCUGGAGGAAUACCGGUGGCGAAGGCGGCCCCCUGGACAAAGACUGACGCUCAGGUGCGAAAGCGUGGGGAGCAAACA
rnacentral:rRNA from 1 species